rnacentral:sRNA from 1 species
GCCGGGUAUGGUGGCGCACACCUGUAAUCCCAGCGGCUUGGGAGGCUGAGGCAGGAGGAUCACAGGUUCAAAGGCAGCCUAAGCAACUCAGUUAGACCCUGUCUCUA